UGUGCACAUUGUUAGAGCUUGGAGUUUAGGCCAAUGGCCAGUGAACUCACAAGUGUAGGUAGUGUGCUACAUGAGAGGCAAGUUUUUCGCUAACACCACAAGGGUCUCUGGCCCAAUGAGUGAAGUUUGAUAGUAAUCCUUGCUACAAGU
ensembl:snoRNA SNORA62 Small nucleolar RNA SNORA62/SNORA6 family